UACGAAGGGGGCUAGCGUUGCUCGGAAUCACUGGGCGUAAAGGGUGCGUAGGCGGGUCUUUAAGUCAGGGGUGAAAUCCUGGAGCUCAACUCCAGAACUGCCUUUGAGACUGCAUCGCUAGAAUCAUGGAGAGGUGAGUGGAAUUCCGAGUGUAGAGGUGAAAUUCGUAGAUAUUCGGAAGAACACCAGUGGCGAAGGCGACUCACUGGACAUGUAUUGACGCUGAGGUGCGAAAGCGUGGGGAGCAAACAGG
rnacentral:rRNA from 1 species